rfam:Cathartes aura contig112637, whole genome shotgun sequence.
UAACCGGCUCUAGUUAGAGCCAUCUAUUUAUCAAGAAACCUCUUU